AUUCCAUGGUGAGGACACUUUAAGAUCAAGUCUUAAAUCUCUCCCAAGCAUCAUAGAGAGACUCAUUGUCUAACUAAUAAAAAUUAUUGAUCUCCCCUCUCAACUU